rnacentral:sRNA from 1 species
GGGUUGCAGCAGCUCAGACAAUCCUUACCGUGUGAAAGGAGGAAUACUGUCAUGGCAUGAAAAAAGCAUCACUAUG